AGAGUUUGAUCCUGGCUCAGGACGAACGCUGGCGGCGUGCUUAACACAUGCAAGUCGAACGGUCGGCACUGGAAGGUUCGCUGGAAGGUGCCGGUAGUGGCGGACGGGUGAGUAACGCGUGAGGACAUGGCUCCAGGAGGGGGAUAACGUUUGGAAACGGACGCUAAGACCCCAUAUGCCGGAAGGUGAAACUGGCGCAAGCCAGCCUGGAGAGUGACUCGCGUCCUAUCAGCUAGUUGGUGGGGUGAAGGCCUACCAAGGCGAUGACGGGUAGCCGACCUGAGAGGGUGGCCGGCCACACUGGAACUGAGAUACGGUCCAGACUCCUACGGGAGGCAGCAGUGGGGAAUAUUGGGCAAUGGGCGAAAGCCUGACCCAGCGACGCCGCGUGGGGGAAGAAGUCUUUCGGGAUGUAAACCC
rnacentral:rRNA from 1 species